rnacentral:rRNA from 1 species
GACGAAAGGGGGGCUAGCGUUGCUCGGAAUUACUGGGCGUAAAGCGCGUGUAGGCGGCUGUUCAAGUUGGGGCGUGAAAAGCCUUGGGCUUAACCCAAGAAAUGCGCUCAAUACUGGAUAGCUAGAGGACCGGAGAGGAUAGUGGAAUUCCCAGUGUAGUGGUGAAAUACGUAGAGAUUGGGAAGAACACCAGUGGCGAAGGCGGCUAUCUGGACGGUUUCUGACGCUAAGACGCGAAAGCGUGGGGAGCAAACAGG